CCUACGGGUGGCAGCAGUGGGGAAUAUUGGACAAUGGGGGGAACCCUGAUCCAGCCAUGCCGCGUGUGUGAAGAAGGCCCUCGGGUUGUAAAGCACUUUCAGUGAGGAAGAACGCCUGGUGGUUAAUACCCAUCAGGAAAGACAUCACUCACAGAAGAAGCACCGGCUAACUCCGUGCCAGCAGCCGCGGUAAUACGGAGGGUGCGAGCGUUAAUCGGAAUUACUGGGCGUAAAGCGCGCGUAGGUGGCUUGAUAAGCCGGUUGUGAAAGCCCCGGGCUCAACCUGGGAACGGCAUCCGGAACUGUCAAGCUAGAGUGCAGGAGAGGAAGGUAGAAGUCCCGGUGUAGCGGUGAAAUGCGUAGAGAUCGGGAGGAAUACCAGUGGCGAAGGCGGCCUUCUGGACUGACACUGACACUGAGGUGCGAAAGCGUGGGUAGCAAACAGGAUUAGAUACCCUAGUAGUC
rnacentral:rRNA from 1 species